CAGACCUGUCUUCCUUUUUAUUAUUCUGACUUCUUAUAAGCCACAGUGACCUGGGAGUCCACUGCACCAUCUCUUGGUCCUGUACCAACAUUGUGAUCUAUGGAAAGGGACUCCUGCCAAGGACUUUGAGGCGGAAAACUGAUAAUAUUAAAGUGGGUCUUCUGAACGACUGAAAGCUCAAAUGAACGUCAGUAUGUACAGACCUGCAGAACUUAUUACUGCCGCUCAGACAGCACCUGCAUGAAUCUGAGGACUUGAAGGGAAGCAGCCUGGCUGAACUUGGCCCUUAUGACAGAGACACGGGUGGCAGCGAGAGGGGUCCACCGAGUUUCUUGAUGGCCUGAGAGAGCAAGCCUGUGGUUGAAAGAACCGUCUCCAAGACAUGCUGCACAGGCUGAGAU